GCGACCCCCGGUGGUCGGGUGUCUCCGCAGGCCGAACACGCUGCUCGCCCAGCUGCGGAUCAUUACCGCCCUUUUGUUCUCCGUCGCGCGCUCGCCCCACGCUAGGAAUGCAAACUGUAGGCGCCGCCAGCCCCCCCUUCCUGUUUCCCUGGGUGGGAGUGGGAAGGGAGUUUUAAACUGAAUUGUGCUCAGACUCCCAGCCCAGUCUUCCCGGAGCCAUCCGUUCCUUCAUCCAAUGCGGACACCCAUAUCUAAGGUCCUUUUGGCUUUUGGGAGGCGGAGACUGAGACUGGAGUCCAGAGGACCAAGGAGGACGAGUGUGAACUGCUGCAAUCAGUGGCCAAGGCUGCAAGCCAGGCAGGGAAGGGGACUGUGCAGGAGACAGAAGAUGAAGAAAUCGGGAAUCCGGCACAGCAGCGACAGGAGCUCAUUGACUCCUCCCCAAGGGCCAGCUCGGGAAGCUGGAGAGGCCUGUCAUUAACUCUCUUUAUUAUCUACAUUUUCUGCCUCACUGGCUCAUCUGAGGCUGCAAAUGGGACUCACUCCUUGCACGAACCUUGCUUCAUUGGAUUCUGGAACUGGGAGGAACUGAAUCACGGAAAACAUUUAUCAACUUGGGGGUUAAAUGUGGGAGAUAGGGAACUGGGUGUGCACAUAAUAUGGAGUUUGUCCUUGGAACUUAUCCUAAAAGGAUCAUGGUAGUUUCUACCCUACCAUGGCUUCUUCUGAACCCAGAGUCUCCUACCACUGCCAUUUGGAGGAUCAGCCAUGCCCUUUCUAGCCAGAUUCAUAUAGCUCACCUCUUGCAUUUUAAGAACUGUGUCUAUAUGGUAGUCUCCUACAAGAACAGGAGCAGUGUGGCAUGGGUUUAUAGAUAGUCAUGUGCUGCUUACAACUCAUGAGACCUUAGACUCUCUGAGCUUCAGUCUCUUUCUCUGUAAAAUGGGGAUGAUUACAUGAGCCUUGAAGUGCUGGGUAAGGAUUAAUAAUAUCAUCCUUCUUUAUUAAGCAUUUACCAGACUGUAAGUGCUUGAACAUGAGCUAUCUAAAUCCAAUUCUCAGAACAAUAGGUAAAUACUAUUAUCAUCCCCAUUCUGCAGAUGAGGAAGCUGAAACACAGGUUAAAUAACUUGCCCAAGAUAACACAUCUCUCUCCUAACCUUCCUGCAGGAAACUCAUCUAUUCCCAUGACUUACAAGAUCAUCCAUAGACAACAGCUCCUAUGCUUAUUUUUUCAGUCCUAUUCUCUCUUCUGAGGCCCAGCCUACUUGACUUGUCAACUUGGAGGUUUAACAGAUCUUUCAAACCCAUUUCUCCCAAGCAGAUGAAGACACUGAGGCAACUUGUUCAAGGUCAAACAACUAGAGUCAUCAAGCCCGAAUUUGAACCUGGAUCUCUCUUUAUCUGCAAAGGUUACACUGCUGAGCACAUUCUAUCUCUCUAUGAGUUGGUACUCUCUUCAAAAUAUCCCUGUCAGUCAGACAUAGUGGUGCAUGCCUGUAUUCCCAGUUAUUCAAGGGGCUGAAGCAGGAGAGUCACUUGGGCCCAGGAAUUCAAGGCUGCAGCAAGCUAUGAUUGUGCCCAUGAAUAGCCAUUGCACUCUAGCCUGAGCAACAUAGCAAGAUGCCAUCUUUAUUUUUACUUUAAAAAUAAAAAUAAGUUUAAAAAUAAAGAAAUAAAAGAAGACCCUUUUCCAUUCUGUAGCUCAUACCCUAAGUCAUAUCUACCAGACUGCUGUGAUACUCACUAAACCAUGCCAACUGCUCUCUCCCCCAAGCUAAAGAGGCCCUGAGCACCAGCCUCAGGAUGUGCCAAGAAAGAAGCUAUCCAUAAGGACAGAGGGAAGCCCCAAAGAGGGCUCAUCAGAGAAAGUCAUGGGGAAGAAGAGCUGUGAAGCCAUCUUAUCUCCUUCCAUCAAAAGCCCCUGUUCUGGCUGGGUGCGGUGGCUCACGCCUGUAAUCCCAGCACUUUGGGAGGCUGAGGCAGGCAGAUCACGAGGUCAGGAGAUCAAGACCAUCCUGGCUAACAUGGUGAAACCCCGCUAACACGGUGAAACCCUGUCUCUACUAAAAAUACAAAAAAAGUAGCCAGGUGUGGUGGCACGUGCCUGUCAUCCCAGCUACUCGGGAGGCUGAGGCAGGAGAAUUGCUUGAACCCGGGAGACGGAGGU
rnacentral:lncRNA from 10 species